CCUACGGGAGGCAGCAGUGGGGAAUAUUGCACAAUGGGGGAAACCCUGAUGCAGCGACGCCGCGUGAGCGAUGAAGUAUCUCUGUAUGUAAAGCUCCAUCAGCAGGGAAGAAAAUGACGGUACCUGACUAAGAAGCCCCGGCUAACUACGUGCCAGCAGCAGUGGCACUACGUAGGCGGCAAGCGUUAUCCGGAGUUACUGGGUGUAAAGGGAGCGUAGGCGGUCCUGCAAGUCAGAGGUGAAAGCCCGGGGCUCAAACCCGGGACUGCAUUUGGAACUGUAAGGCUAGAGUGUCGGAGAGGCAGGCGGAAUGCCUGGUGUAGCGGUGAAAUGCGUAGAUAUUAGGAAGAACACCGGUGGCGAAGGCAGCCUGCUGGACGAUGACUGACGUUGAGGCUCGAAAGCGUGGGGAGCAAACAGGAUUAGAUACCCGGGUAGUC
rnacentral:rRNA from 1 species